CACACUGGGACUGAGACACGGCCCAGACUCCUACGGGAGGCAGCAGUGGGGAAUAUUGCACAAUGGGCGAAAGCCUGAUGCAGCGACGCCGCGUGAGGGAUGACGGCCUUCGGGUUGUAAACCUCUUUCAGCAGGGAAGAAGCGAGAGUGACGGUACCUGCAGAAGAAGCGCCGGCUAACUACGUGCCAGCAGCCGCGGUAAUACGUAGGGCGCAAGCGUUGUCCGGAAUUAUUGGGCGUAAAGAGCUCGUAGGCGGCUUGUCACGUCGGAUGUGAAAGCCCGGGGCUUAACCCCGGGUCUGCAUUCGAUACGGGCAGGCUAGAGUUCGGUAGGGGAGAUCGGAAUUCCUGGUGUAGCGGUGAAAUGCGCAGAUAUCAGGAGGAACACCGGUGGCGAAGGCGGAUCUCUGGGCCGAUACUGACGCUGAGGAGCGAAAGCGUGGGGAGCGAACAGGAUUAGAUACCCUGGUAGUCCACGCCGUAAACGUUGGGAACUAGGUGUGGGCGACAUUCCACGUCGUCCGUGCCGCAGCUAACGCAUUAAGUUCCCC
rnacentral:rRNA from 1 species